GAUCAUGGCUCAGGACGAACGCUGGCGGCGUGUCUAACACAUGCAAGUCGAACGGGGUACCCGGAAAUGAGGCUUCGGCCAAGUGGAAGGACUACCUAGUGGCGGACGGGUGAGUAACGCGUGAGCAACCUGCCUUUCAGAGGGGGAUAACGGCUGGAAACGGCCGCUAAUACCGCAUAACGCAUGGGAGGGGCAUCCCUUUUGUGCCAAAGAUUUAUCGCUGAAAGAUGGGCUCGCGUCUGAUUAG
rnacentral:rRNA from 1 species